GAAAUGCGAUACGUAGUGUGAAUUGCAGAAUUCCGUGAAUCAUCGAAUCUUUGAACGCAUAUUGCGCUCGAGACUUCGGUCGAGAGCAUGCCUGUCUCAGCGUCGGCUCACCCCCUCGCCCUCUCCUUUCCCUCACCGGAAGGGCUGCCAGGAGCGGAUGUGGCCGUCUCGGAUUCCUCACCGAAACCGGGUCGGCUGAAGCAAAGGGCUUGCGGCAGGACCCUCAAACAGGGCGCCAGCAUGGUAGGUGGCUUUCAGCUGCAUGCCGCUGUCGUCCGAUUGAGACCGUCCGACCAACCGCGCGGCCAAGCAGGAACUUGUCCAAUUCAUUUUGGCCAACAACCUUCGACCUGAGAUCAGACAAGACCACCCGCUGAACUUAA
rnacentral:misc_RNA from 1 species